AGAUAUGGGCAUCUGGAGUUCAGCCAGAUGUGAAGAGCACACAGAGACCCAACAGCUGACCAGGACAAAUCAGCAAGUCCACACCAAGGCUGUCAAUCACUCCCCAACAAGCGUGACCUUUCUGACAAGGCUCGGGAUAAUGAGAAAGCACGGCUCCAGGAAACUGUCCAGGCUGCCACUCAACUGAUUUUACACCUUGGCCUCGCUGCCUCGCUGCCUCGCUGCCUCGUUGCUCGCCACUUCCGACUCCAGCCGUCCUCCAAAUCUCCAGUAUUUGUCCUUCACGCCGGAUGCCAACGCUUCAAGCACAACGUCUACAAUUAAAGCCCCGACUGCAUAUGACCACUUGGGUUUCUCUUAUUCCAUGACACAGAAUUUCUCUUUCAGCAAGCAUCCGAAUGACACCACAACUCCGACGUCAAAUCGUCCAUGGACAUCCACAUUGGGCCAGUCGUGAAC